rnacentral:rRNA from 1 species
UACGUAGGGGGCAAGCGUUGUCCGGAAUUAUUGGGCGUAAAGCGCGCGCAGGCGGCCCAGUCAGUCUGAUGUUUAAGUCCGAGGCUCAACUUCGGGACGCAUGAGAAACUGCUGAGCUAGAGUGCAGGAGAGGAAAGCGGAAUUCCACGUGUAGCGGUGAAAUGCGUAGAGAUGUGGAGGAACACCAGUGGCGAAGGCGGCUUUCUGGCCUGUAACUGACGCUGAGGCGCGAAAGCGUGGGGAGCAAACAGG